rnacentral:misc_RNA from 1 species
CGCUUAGUCGUGUCCGUCGUA